GACGAACGCUGGCGGCGUGCCUAAUACAUGCAAGUAGAACGCAGUUGCGAAAGGGUGCGUAACGCGUAGGUAACUUCUUUAUAGCGGGGGAUAACUAUUGGAAACGAUAGCUAAUACCGCAUACUUUGAGAUGGACCUGCGUGUUAUUUCCUAGUUGGUUAGGUAAAGGCUAACCAAGGCGACGAUACAUAGCCGACCUGAGAUGGUGAUCGGCCACACUGGGACUGAGACACGGCCCAGACUCCUACGGGAGGCAGCAGUAGGGAAGCUUCGGCAAUGGACGGAAGUCUGACCGAGCAACGCCGCGUGAGUGAAGAAGGUUUUCGGAUCGUAAAGCUCUGUUGUUAGAGAAGCGGUUACUACCCAGAAGGGGACGGCUAACUACGUGCAAGCAGCCGCGUAAUAC
rnacentral:rRNA from 1 species